GAAACCUGAUGCCAAAAUAAGAGUACCGGCGUGUUUAGCAGCACAUGUCUUUGUGUUCUCAUUUUAGUCCAGCCAUACAGUAUUUUGGCACAGCUCCCCUGAGACCAACACAAACGAUGGAAAGAUUCCAUGGCGGGUGUGAAAUCACAUGACUGAAACUUGAUAAUCCUUUCCACCGGCUGGCUGAACUCACAGAGCUAGACAACAUCAACAUGCUUCCUACCCUCCUCACCACCAUGCUUUUUACAAUGGGAUCAGACGCUGUCCCUUAUGCCAUCUUAUCUCCACCAUUUCACUUGAACACUGAUCUCAGAGGCUUGACCAUCCUGGUGUGUGUGCUUCAUGACAUUCAUCAAUGAGAGCUGGAGGUCACCUGGAUUUCUAGUGGCACCAGAGGAACUAAUCCAGCAGUCCCUACCUUACUCCAAGGACACAGUGGCAUUCAGAGCACAAUGUCUGUUAUAUCUGUGCCCACGAGUGAAUGGAUGUCCUACACCUGCUUUGUGAGUCACAGAGACUCCGAUCAACUCGUGCACAGACAUUAUGCUGGACUCCCAAUGGAGACAACUGCUCUCAGAAUGAUCCUCCUCAAAAUCACCAUUUUCAACGUUUUGAUGACAGUGCAAGCCGUCAUAAAGUGGUAAGUGCUCAUAUUACUGCAAAUGCAAUGCCAGUAGUGAAAUAAUUUAUGCACAUUUUUCACAAUUAUACUGAAACCUGUCAUAUUUCUUGUCUGCAAAACUGCAGAGUUUCAAAAACAACUGCCAUGGAUGUCAGAGUUAAUUGGACGUGCUGUUGGAGGUUUAUAGCAGGAGG
ensembl:lncRNA